GUGCUGCAAGGAGGAAGGGACAGGAGGUUGUGCAAGGGACAGACAGGGAUAGGUGGCUGUGCUAGGGACAGGAAGGUGUGAGCUGGAACUGCAGAAGGAAGAGAGAAUGAGAUGAAAGGCCAGAGCCACAUGGAGCUGCCUAUAGGAGGCUACAUAGAAAAGGAUGAGGUGCAGUGGAGACAGAGCCCAGCAAAGCUGAGAGCAGCAGGUGAAGCUGCCAGUCCAGACUUGCUUUUGACACCUGGAGUACAGGUUAAAUUUUUGGCCAGUUUAACUUCUGAACUACCUCAACUACCAGAGCCAUUGCAAAGGAUGGGACAGGACAGCAUUGCUGUGGGCCUGGGAGAGGAACAGGAUGAGUGAAAUUUGGAAAUAAUCCAGCAUACAGCUCAGUGCUUUCAAGACCUCAAGAAAUCUUUUAUAUUAAGAGGAAUACAUUUAGAAGAGUUUCUACAUUUGUUAAAAGUUCAGCAGUUUGUCUCCCAGCUUAAUAGAAAAGAAGGUAAAAAAAACCUCAGAAGAGUUCAAGAAGGCAAGGACAGAGGUAGAGAGAUGGCAGAGCAAAAUCUGGCAUAGGAAAAAGUCAGUCAAGGAGAAAGUAUGAUUUACAGGGUCACCUCCAAAUGACUUCCACCCCCUUCACAAGGCUGAAAGGAAACUCUGCAUCUAGUCCUAAGGAUUUUUUUCCCCAACUUGAUUCCAGGAUUACAGAAUAUAACUGUAAGAAAAAGCAUUUCUGAAAUUAUAGAAAUUUUAUAUUCACACUCAAAAUGUCAAACCAUAAAGACUUAAUAUUUAUUUAAUAAUAAUAAUUUGCAUUCUAAUGUUCUGUAAACAAAAAUAAUAAAGUGCUAAACUUGAACUAGACAUUAGACUAAGUAUUCAACCAAAAUUGUACUUACGUGUGAAUUUGGAACGCCGUCCGCCCAAGCCACACUGGCGUAUUUUGCCGCCCCGAAAGAGUCCGUAGUAAAUUUCUCCAAUGAACUUAACCAGCUCUGGGUCUGUGGCAUUGACCAAAUCAGCCCCUGUUUUGCAAAGGAUCUUUCCAGUCAUCCACUUUGGGGUCCCCAUUGCAACAACAAUCAAGAUAAAAGACACAAAACUUAUUAGAGAAGCCAAGGCAAAUAUUGUCUUUUUAAAGCAGCCAGGCAUCCUAGUGCUUUCAAGGGAUCAUCUUCAAGCUCUCUCUGCAGUAGUCAAACAUAUGUCCCAUUUUUCACCAUGUUCCAAAAUUCACAGUUGAAUACCAGGCAUUUCAAAAUACUUCUCUUUGUAUUUCGAAGGUCCAGCAAUUAAUCUGUAUGGUUAAAAAUCAAGGCGAAAAAUACAUUUUGGUGCAACAACAUCCUGAAAUUGUUGCAAGGAACGGCUUCGUUAUAUUGUAGUGCAGUGAUACUUCUUUUUGCAGCAAGUAAUCCUAUCUAUGUGGCCUGUCUAAUAUUUCCUCGGGGGUUUAAUUGUCCUGCUCAAAUGACAUCAAGUUUUUUACUGCAACUUCGUGAAGAUUGGAGAAGAAUCCAGUUUCUUAGAUUAUUUUAAAAAGUGGGUAAAUAUCUGUGUGCAAGGGAGAGAGCAUUAAAACAACAUCAUUUGGCUGAAGGAUUCUGCUGUCGCCUCAGCCGUGCUGAGCUUCCCGGCGCUUGCUCCCACCCAGCCUCUAAAUGUCACUGCAGGCAGAGUUAUCUGAGGGACAGAAAUGACGGCUCUGGAAUAUUCUGGAUUACAACGGGGCGCACGAAGCCCCUCGCAGCCGGGCUGGCCCGGCCAGCCGUGCCGUACCCCGGGGCACUCAGGAGGUGUAACACAAGCGACAGGUGCUAUGCCAUGAGCGCUAAAGAAAACCGGCCGUCAUUGCCUGCACUUCUACGAUUACUGCUACCCGAGCCCUGAGAGGACCUUCAGAACCACUAAUUAAUUAAUUAACUAGCAGUAGCAGGAGCCCUGGGGACUGGUAACACGGCCCCUUGCCGUGUCUCGGCCGAGGCAUCGGGCCUCCUCCUCCCUCACCUCUCCCGGCUCUGCACCCCACGGCGGGCAGC